AAAAUACUACAAUAGGGGCGUAUGACAUUUGCGCCGAUUUUGAAAAUUUUCAUUCUUUCAUUUGCGCCGAUUUCAUUUUUUCAUUUGCGCCGAUUUUAUAUUUGCUCCUAAUUAGAUUUACAGGUAAGUUAAAACUUGUACAUGUACUGUGCUAUACCAUUGGUAAAAUCUGGUUAUAAUUGUUUUUCAUCCAUGUUUAAGUUAAUUUUGAUCCAUAUUGUUCUGGAACUUCGUUGUAACUUGAUGGUCAUAUUGCACAUUGAAACGGACCGAGAAGUAAAUUCUUUAAUCAUCGAGGGCCAUACAUAUCGGAAGGUCAGUGUUCUCAAACAUAACUACAUAUCUUACUAAUGUACCAUAAAAUCGUGUAAAGCCAGAGUUACCACGGAUUCUAUUGUCAAAACACAGAUCGAGCAUAACCAUGUGGUAAAUGUUCGAAAGACAGAUGCUAAAGAACUACGGAUAUGGUCAACAAGGAAAAAAGUAUGGAGAUGUAUCUUGUAGGCCUUCUUCCACCUCCCAGUGGUGAGCAGGGGACAACAGUUAUAUACAUGUUGUGAUUGACAAUUCAUUACAUUUGUACAAGUGGCAAAUGGAAGAGGUCUAUAAUGAUAAAUGAAAAAUAACAUGACUUGGAUGGAGAGUUCUCUCAUUGAC
rnacentral:lncRNA from 1 species